GCAACCGUGGUGCAGUGGUUUAGCAUUCCAGCCUCCCAUCUAGGGAACCAGCUGGAGACCUGGGUUCGAACCCCGGCGGUUGCA